rnacentral:lncRNA from 1 species
UUUGUGAUCCCAUAUGAGAUUUUCUAGGUAACGGUACUGAUAUACCUUUCCAUUUCCUUCUCUAGUUCAUUUUACAGAUAAAGAAACAGAAGCAAACAGGGUUAAGUGAUUCGCCCAAGAUGACAUAACUACUAAGUAUCUAAGGCUGGAUUUGAACUCAGAAAGUUGAGUCUUCCAGACUCCAGGCUUGGUGCUCUAUUCAUUGAGUCACCUGGUUGCUUUGUUGUGAGAUGGUGAUCUGUCUUUUCCUGCCUCUUCCCAGACUUCUGCAACAGGGCAGAAAAAGGAUGAGGAUGCUCAGAGGGAUCCUUUCCUUUGGAGCCCUGCUCUUAUUCUCCUCUGCUUAUGAUCUGAUCUUGGUAAUGAGACUUUGUCAGAGAAAUUUGCUGCAAAGAUUUCCCUUCCACAGGUAACUAUUUCCCUUCUAGUCUUAGCUGUAUUGGUUUUGCUUG